AUUGAACGCUGGCGGCAUGCCUUACACAUGCAAGUCGAACGGCAACGGGCCUUCGGGUGCCGACGCGUGGCGAACGGGUGAGUAAUACAUCGGAACGUGCCCGCUCGUGGGGGCUAAUGAGGCGAAAGCUUUGCUAACACCGCAUACGACCUACGGAUGAAAGCAGGGGACCGCAAGGCCUUGCGCGGGCGGAGCGGCCGAUGGCAGACUAGGUAGUUGGUGGGAUAAAAGCUUCCCAAGCCGACGCUCUGUAGCUGGUCUGAGAGGAUGAUCAGCCACACUGGGACUGCGACGCGGCCCAGACUCCUACGGGAAGCAGCAGUGGGGAAGUUUGCACAACGGGCGCAAGCCUGAUCCAGCCAUGCCGCGUGCAGGAGGAAGGCCUUCGGGUUGUAAACUGCUCUUGUACGGAACGACAGGCCUUCUAUUAAUACAGGAGGUUCAUGACGGUACCGUAAGAAGAAGCACCGGCUAACUACGUG
rnacentral:rRNA from 1 species